UUAAGUUCAGCGGGUAUCCCUACCUGAUCCGAGGUCAAACAGAAAAGAGAAGCUUAAUGGAAGGGGAUAGGCUAGAGCCGCUACGCAAUGUGCUGCGCAUGAAGCCAACCUACCAGCUACCAAUAUAUUUAAGGCGAGUCCAUACACAGAGGCAGAAGACAAACACCCAACACCAAGCAGAGCUUGAAGGUUUAAAUGAC
rnacentral:misc_RNA from 1 species